GGGGAUGAUCGGUUUCGACGGUGGUCGUCCUACCAGGGGAAGCGGGUCGAGGAUGUGCGGUUAUCUCGUAAACGCUCCGUACAACCCAAUAGGUGCCGAAACUAAGAGCACCGACUUCGCUCUCGCGGCCUAACUAAACCCGCGACAGCAGUCCGUCAGUUCGGGAACGCCCUCGUUCCGGGUCCUGGCGUCAUUUAGAGGGCCACUGCUCCCAGCUCGGGUCACUUGAGCUCGGGGGGACUCCAAGGUGACUGAGCCCGUUCACCAGUCUGUUUGCAGGCAGGGUGAGGGCUGAGAAACUCCAGUUGCAGACU
rnacentral:tmRNA from 1 species